UACGUAGGGGGCUAGCGUUGUCCGGAAUCAUUGGGCGUAAAGAGCGUGUAGGCGGCCCGGUAAGUCCGCUGUGAAAGUCCAGGGCUCAACCCUGGGAUGCCGGUGGAUACUGUCGGGCUCGAGUCCGGAAGAGGCGAGUGGAAUCCUGGUGUAGCGGUGAAAUGCGCAGAUAUCAGGAGGAACACCAAUGGCGAAGGCAGCUCGCUGGGACGUGACUGACGCUGAGACGCGAAAGCGUGGGGAGCAAACAGGA
rnacentral:rRNA from 1 species